UACGUAGGGUGCGAGCGUUGUCCGGAAUUACUGGGCGUAAAGAGCUCGUAGGUGGUUUGUCGCGUUGUUCGUGAAUUCUCACGGCUUAACUGUGAGCGUGCGGGCGAUACGGGCAGACUGGAGUACUGCAGGGGAGACUGGAAUUCCUGGUGUAGCGGUGGAAUGCGCAGAUAUCAGGAGGAACACCGGUGGCGAAGGCGGGUCUCUGGGCAGUAACUGACGCUGAGGAGCGAAAGCGUGGGGAGCGAACAGG
rnacentral:rRNA from 1 species